rnacentral:rRNA from 1 species
GAAUAUUGGUCAAUGGGCGAGAGCCUGAACCAGCCAUGCCGCGUGCAGGAUGACGGCCUUCUGGGUUGUAAACUGCUUUUAUACGGGAAGAAAACGCCCAUGCGUGGGUAACUGACGGUACCGUAAGAAUCAGCACCGGCUAACUCCGUGCCAGCAGCCGCGGUAAUACGGAGGGUGCAAGCGUUGUCCUGAUUUAUUGGGUUUAAAGGGUGCGUAGGCGUGUUUUUAAGUCAGUGGUGAAAGCCCACAGCUCAACUGUGGAACUGCCAUUGAUACUGAAGACCUUGGGUAUCGUUGAGGUAGGCGGAAUUUAUGGUGUAGCGGUGAAAUGCAUAGAUACCAUAAAGAACACCGAUAGCGUAGGCAGCUUACUAAACGAUAACUGACGCUGAGGCACGAAAGCAUGGGGAGCGAACAGG